CUGGGGACGACCCCAGUGCAUUCUCUCAUCCGGGGACGGCCCCA
rnacentral:ncRNA from 1 species